rnacentral:piRNA from 1 species
UGUAAAUUGCCCUUAGCCCUUAUUUUUGGCA